UGACUGCAGGUUUUUGCAGACACUCUGCACUCUUUGGUGUGGCGCAAAAUUGUGUUCCAUAGCGCAGGUGCUGAGGGCCUCACUCGUGAACCCUUUUUGGUGAAGGUGUCCCCUCGUGUGUAGUGUCUUAUUCACUCCCUUUUUGCUUUACCCUUGUGUGUGUUUUGGAGUGUUAAAGAGUGGAUUGUGGUGCUCCAAUUUUAAGUUUAUACCUUCACCCCCCCCCCCCCCCACCCUCUCACCUUCAGCACGAAGGCCCCAGCCCUGGAAAAACACGACGUCCGGUGUGGUAGGGCAGCCGCCUGUUGAAUCCGGUUUUCCUUUGGGUUAAAUGCCCUGGACAACACCCACCAUUUACACUUUACCCUCAUGCACAUCCUACACUACUGAUAAUACUGACAUUUGCAUCCCAUCUGGAAUGGUUAUGGUUUUUCGUUGU
ensembl:lncRNA